UUUCAGAGUGAAUGAUACUCACUCUACACCUUCUUUUAACUGAUGUGGGUAACUUCCAAGAGGAAGAAGUGGCAAAUAUCAACAAAAAAAAAAAAACUGGGAGAAGUCACCUGAGGAGGCAGCUGUCUGCCUUUACUCUCUCUGAGGUUAAUUUAGACUACCCAUGUUCACUUACACCAAGAAAACAAAGAUGGAUGCCCAGGCAAACAUCUUGUCAAAAGACAAACAUGGUCUCAGCAGGAAAAAUUUGCCUAUAUUUGCACACAGUCCACUUCUUUUUUUUCUUCUUUUUUCUCAUUUUUAUGAUGGAUUUCUGCCAAUUGACCAUGAGGUAAUCCAAGAAGUUUAGGAUGUUAAAACAAAGCAAAAAUGGGAUGGGCAACCAUUUGCAACAAAUAUCUCUGAUCUGUUAGAGGGAACUUCAAUCCUCACCCACAUCUUAUUUUAUAUCCUCCUUUAAUUCUCAAGUCUGGCCUUCUGUAAUUUAGUUUACUCUAGGAAAAAUCUUGCAUUAUGUAAUCAUGGUGAUAGUCUGCUCAGGUAGUUGAAUUACAAAGACAAAGGACUUUUCUCAUGGGGCAACUCUGUCUAUUGAGCUAAAUUCAUUUAAUAAUCUGAUGCUUAUCUGACCAUGUCUACUCUCAAAGGCCCCAAAAAUCUGAAAGUAAACCAAUUCCCAAUGGCACUAUAUGGAAAAUGUAAUUAUUGAUAAGAAAAGGAUUUUAAAAUCUCUACUUAGAAGCUCCCCAAAUUUAGAGAGACAGAUAUACAAAGUCAAUAUCCCUUCUAAAACAAGUAUUCCUACUGAACUGAGGAGACGGUCCAAGAUGUAGUUCUCCUAGGUAGAUCAUGAAAAUGCACUGCAGGCAUCUUUGUAAUGCAUGCUUCAGCACAGUUUCCCUUCGGGAUCCUCAAGGAUCCUCAACUCCAAGUUUGCCCGGCAGGUUCCCCACUUGCCUCUGCCAGCCUCCAUUUCCUGCUACAUGCAGAGAAGCAUAGGUACAUGGAUCUCACAGGGCUUCUCAAAGAUGUGAGUAAAGUUUGAGUAAGUAAAGUAAAAUAACUUGGCACAUCAAAUUGUUCAUAAAGAUGUUGAGUUGGAGCUCUUGUAAUUAUCGGUACAGGAGCCCCUCCCACCAGGCUGUAGUCAGAAGGCCCCCUGGCCAAUUCCCCCCAGUGAGACAGGAAGCUGCCACUGUGACAGGGCUUCCUGGAGACACGAUGCCUUCCUCUUCACCGUCACAAGGCCCAUCACAGAUUCCUUUAGAUUCAAACAUGAAAGGAAUGGGAGAGUCCAAAGAAAAGUUGCAUUUUCUAACAUUGUUCAGGACCAGUCUUGAGAACCAAUCAAUUCUCAGCACAGUGCUCUUGCCCACCUCCAUCCCACCCCAUCCCAAACCCCUGUUGUUGCAGUUAAAAGUGACUGUGCAAGGCGAGGGAGUGCUUAGGUCAGAUGAGGAUAAGCAAAAAAUGGGUAAGACAGGCAAUAAAGGUGGUGGGAAGAGAUCUGAAUGCACCCAGGUAGGUGGGUGAGUAAUAAUACCACUAAUCAAUGCUAUAGUUGAUAGGGGAAAAAAAGACUGAAAGAAGAAAAAAUGGAGUUCUUGAUGCAGAGCUGUCCCUCGUAGAUAGCUAAGCCCACUGGCUUCUUCCUACCCUAUCAAUUCAUCACUUAGAGGCAACACUCUAGAAAAAGAGAUCAUGUGGUGCUUUA